rnacentral:rRNA from 1 species
UAACACAUGCAAGUCGAACGGAAAGGCCCUGCUUGCAGGGUACUCGAGUGGCGAACGGGUGAGUAACACGUGGGUGAUCUGCCCUGCACUUCGGGAUAAGCUUGGGAAACUGGGUCUAAUACCGGAUAGGAACCAUCUUUAGUGUGGUGGUUGGAAAGUUUUUUCGGUGUAGGAUGAGCUCGCGGCCUAUCAGCUUGUUGGUGGGGUAAUGGCCUACCAAGGCGGCGACGGGUAGCCGGCCUAGAGAGGGUGUACGGCCACAUUGGGACUGAGAUACGGCCCAGACUCCUACGGGAGGCAGCAGUGGGGAAUAUUGCACAAUGGGCGCAAGCCUGAUGCAGCGACGCCGCGUGGGGGAUGAAGGCCUUCGGGUUGUAAACUCCUUUCGCUAGGGACGAAGCUUUUUGUGACGGUACCUAGAUAAGAAGCACCGGCUAACUACGUGCCAGCAGCCGCGGUAAUACGUAGGGUGCGAGCGUUGUCCGGAAUUACUGGGCGUAAAGGGCUCGUAGGUGGUUUGUCGCGUCGUCUGUGAAAUUCUGGGGCUUAACUCCGGGCGUGCAGGCGAUACGGGCAUAACUUGAGUGCUGUAGGGGUAACUGGAAUUCCUGGUGUAGCGGUGAAAUGCGCAGAUAUCAGGAGGAACACCGAUGGCGAGGGCAGGUUACUGGGCAGU